UAACUCUUGACAAUUAUAUAUUCAUAUGCAUGUUAGUAGCAUGAUGCUACCAAUAUUCGCACCUUUAGCAUUCAAACACUUGAUCAUUGAAAGAAUUUAAGAAAAAUGUUGUUUGGUUACUGAGAAAAUAUCUCAACAAAAUUUUCAGAGAACUUUCCGGAAUUCUUGCCUUUAUUUCACUUAAUGAAAAAUGUUACAAUUACAUUCAAUUUAUAUUCGAUGCUUUAGCAUUACUAUAACUAACUCAGAACAUACUACACAUGCUUAACUACAGCUCAAUAGAUACAGAGUAAGUCAUAACAAACUUUUAACUACUUAUGCUGAGGUGGCAACUGAGCUGUUAUUCCGCUUAAUCAUCUGACGUCACCAACUUGUUGGUUUUCCUCAGCUCGAGCGUCUUCUUCCUUUCUGUACAAUGAGCUUCUUUAACAACCACUGAAGCAGCCUUUCUCACCAACCUAGCUCCGACAUUAAUCUAUAGAGUUAUCAAGACCGACAUUCGAUGACGUAAUCACAUAAAGUUGCGCUUAUGCCUACAAAAUGGCUGAAUAACUAACCAAUUCGAUUCCUUAUUGCACCAUUCCUGAAUCCUGUCCUCUGAUACUGUAGGCCUCUUCCCGUCUUCCAUAUCGCAAGACACUUCACCUAGCCCAAAACAUACCGUUCUUGGCUUGAAAAUGGAAAGUCUCGUGCAGUGCAGAAAUCAGAGGAAUUAACCCACUUAUGACCAUCGUGUGUGUAUAUAGUAGACGAUGUAAUUAGAUAUCUAAUGAGUGUUUAAGAUAUUACAGAUUAAAAUGUUGCAUACUCUGGACAUUAACAUAACAUAAAAUUUGAUCCACAAUUUACUCAAUUUCUGAGUUAGCUUACCAAAAGUAUUGUAGCAGAAAUAACCAAAUCAACCCAGGUCCUUAUAUGGAGCCCCUGCGCGUCAAUUAAAGUAAAAGCUCGAUCCUCUGUUAUCCGAAAUGGUCAAACAAACAUUAAACCAAAAUGUUGAAGUCUCUUUCUUUUGCAAUUCUAGCUCUAACUGAUGAGAUUGAUCGAAAAGAAUAACCAACAUUAAGAUUAAUUUUUAUUUCCAUUUCUAGGAAAUGGAGAAUUAAAUGGAAUUCUCUCAGUAAAGCUCACCAAUAUCUGUCUCCGUCAUCACAUAGAUAUAUCAGACUAGCUAUCUAAUCCUUUUAUUUUAUUUUUUUCCUUUUUCAUUCAACAGCUUCAGCAUAUAACAAGAAAGCUUGGGCUCCUACAAUGUUUAGGCCUCAUCACGAUUAAGUACUCGUACGGUGGCGCAAGUAGCAGGCCUGGCGCCACUCUGGAUCUGCUAGAGAAAAAAAUUUUACACAUGCGCCCUGAAAAUCUGUUACAUAAAUUAUGUCCUAAUAAUCAGCAAUAAUUCAAAGAUGCGGAUAAAAAAAACACUAUAAUGUACAAACAUACACCUUGUUUAUAUUUUUUGUAUCACAUGAGACAUAAACUCCUCAAGAGUCAAGUCCGACAUUUAAUUCAACCCAUAAACUUGUGCUUGUAGCCCGCAUAAAUGGUUAAACAAAUAUUAUAUUUUCGACUUGAAGAUUGGAUUACAAAUAUAUAAUAGGAAAGUAAAAUGGAGGAGGAGAAAGAAAUUACCUGUAGUAGUUGAGAAAUUACUGCCAAAAAUAGAAUUACCCGUAGGAAUUUUAUUUGGUUAGUAAUUGAGAAAGAAAUUACCUUAGGUGAUGACUGAAAGGAAUUUAGAUCUAUCAAAAAUAGAUGUAAGCAAUUAAAAACUAAAAAUUAAUUACUUAAUUAAUUUUUUCAGAAGUGCUGUUCAUUGUUACUGUUUACGGUUCUGUUCACCACAACUGUUUACAGUUACUUUACAAUUAUUGUUUAUCCACAUAAAAAAUAUUAAUUUUCCAAAAACACAAUAAAAUGCCGAAAAUAAAUUAUACAGAAAUUUUUACGUGGUUCGUAUUAAUCAAUCCUACAUCCACGUGGGCACGCCAAGAUGAAAAACAAUCACUAAGUUGAGAUGUUACAACUUAUGGAUUUACCAAACUUAAGACUCUCACUUACAGUUUAUCACCAUACAGUUUACUCAACCUUAGACUGAAUCUGCUUCUCUUAAAUAAUUGCUACCCCUCUUGAUCCACGAUCCUCAAGGCACUUUGCAAAGUGAUCAAUAGCAAUUCUUCAAUUCUUCAACGUCUAGUGAUCCAAGAUUGACAUAGAGUCUCAACAGAGAUAAAAAGAAGAUAAUAAAACAAAUCAACACAACAUGGUGCGCCAAAUUCGGAUUCUCUGGGGAGGAGGCCGAAUUAUUGCUUCUCUGCUUUAUGCUUUGCAUUGUGCCUGUCUUCAAUUGUGAAAUACCUCUAUUUAUAUAGGCAAUAGGGUUUCACCAAAAUAGCAAGUUUGAAAAAACUUAGAUACUUUCCAAAUAAGAGUUUGUUUCCUCUUAUAAUUCCUAUGAAUCUGAAUAGGAAUAAAUAUGAUCUUCUUGCAUUACUUGUCUCCGAAGAAAUAUCUAGAGCAUUUAAUGACUUCUUGUUUGAACCAACUUCUUGCUCUAAAUAGAUCUCAUGCACUAAUAAUAGAAUCCCACCAUUAAUUGACUUGCUAAAAUAGACAUUUAAUUAAAUUAGGAAACAAAUAUUCCUAAUAAAUUGGAAUCUCACUAAAUUAGGAAAUUAAUAAAUUAAUCCCUAUUACAAGAUAUGCAAUAAAUAAACUUCCAAUUUAACUAGAACUUAACAAUGGUGACGGUACUCGUUUUAAAAAUCCUCAAGGUUCGAAUUUGACAUAUUGGUGAUUGAUUAGGAUGCUGGGAAUGUGGCAUAUCUUGGGGCAGUCCUCUCCUGUUUCCUUUAUGUGAUGCUCUUCUAAAACAGAACACGAACUAAUACCUGAAUCCUGCAGUGUUGUUUGUUGUGCGCAGAAUGCGAAAUCAAACGCACCAAAUAAUCAUAGAAAAAUAAAGGACACAAAAUUUAACUCAGAUACUAUCUAUGAAUAAUAUAACUCAGUACCUCACUUCAUGCAAGCUUUGAUAUAUUAUUCCUUCUAUCUAUUUAUCCACUGCUAAUUGUUUUAUAAAAAAUUUGGUGCACUGAAGUGAACCCAAUAACUCCUAGCUAGAAGCAACAAUGUCCAAUUAAGCCGCUGAUACAAUCAAUCAAACAAUAAGGAAAGGAUCAACAACACAAAAAGCACACGCAAGGCACAAAGAUUUACAUGAUAUAUCCACAGGUGGCGAUGCUGGUAUCCACUAUACGUGUGAUGAAAACAAGUGUAUAUAUAUAAAGAACACCACCUGUCUCCUCACAAUAAGCCCCUAGAAUACAAGCGCAAAUAAAAAUAAGCCCAUUCCUGCUCUGCUCUGCCCUCAUGUACGUAACUCCUCUGCUAAGAAAUAUUGCCUUAAAAUAUCCGUAGCAUAUGCAUGGAUGACCAGCAAAUCAGUUAAGACAUAUAAAAUUACCAUCCACACAGGAAAUCAGCAAAUCAGUGGUUUCAUGAAUUUGUAAUAUUUGAACAUCAGAAUAUGAAGAGUACAGGGCAAUGGGAAAAAGUAAUUAACCAACCAAAUAAAUUUAAAUCCAAAUAAGAUAAGUAACGUAUGAAAGGAGGGUUGAAGCCCACCUUAGAAACUCCUGUCUAUGAAGGCCAAUAAAUCUCCUGCUAUCUGUUUGCUUAGAUCUUUAUGUAUUUCUAUACACUUUUUACUCUACUCUGUUGUUCAACCUUCCUUGGCUUUAUGUAUCUAUUUUAUGUGUAUUGAGAAGGCUAGUUACUAGGUNNNNNNNNNNNNNNNNNNNNNNNNNNNNNNNNNNNNNNNNNNNNNNNNNNNNNNNNNNNNNNNNNNNNNNNNNNNNNNNNNNNNNNNNNNNNNNNNNNNNNNNNNNNNNNNNNNNNNNNNNNNNNNNNNNNNNNNNNNNNNNNNNNNNNNNNNNNNNNNNNNNNNNNNNNNNNNNNNNNNNNNNNNNNNNNNNNNNNNNNNNNNNNNNNNNNNNNNNNNNNNNNNNNNNNNNNNNNNNNNNNNNNNNNNNNNAUAUAUUUGUGCCAAUUUUCACACCUUUAGCAUUCAAACCUUGCUCUAGAACAACUGCUGUGGUCCGAUGCUGCAGGCAAAAAAUUUGACCUACGAAGCAGCCUCACUCACCAACCUAGCCCCAAAUAAAUUUUUUGAAAUGCCUUGAAAACCUUAACAUUAUAUCCAAAUAAACAUAACUUGUGUUUGUGACGUAAUGAGAUUGCAGUGCAUUCGUAGAGUGUACACUUAUCUGCCAUUUCGGAACAAUUUUUUUUUACUUCUCUUAAAAUUUGCAUAAGAAAUAGCAAUAUGGACAAGUACCUACUUAUGAAAGUGUUAAGAUAUUUUUACAUUUCUUCUUUUUCUUUCAAGGAGUAAAAGUAAUUAUUCAUUUUGUUGAUGCCCAUUUACUCUAUAAAUGCCAUCAUGACCACUGAGAUAUGUUCAUGAAUAAGCAUCUACCAUCAGAUCGAUUCGAAAACGGAAAGGAAUAGAGAAAUAAAAGGUGAAACAAAUGAAAUAAUUAAGGAGAGGAACGAGAUUCUGUUGUCUGGUUAUAACUGGAAAUCAAGCAUGAAAAAGGAAUUGAUUUUUCUUUUUUGGUUGACAGAAUACACUUUCAACUAUAAGAAAAAAAAGAAAAUUUGAAUUUGAUAUUUAACAGAAAAUUCAAAUAAAAUCAAAUUCAUUUGUAAUUUAAGUUCAUUUCAUUCUUAAAAUUUGACAUAUAGAAUAAAAUUUAUAACUGUUUCAAAUACAAAAACAUAUUAAUAUUCAAAAUAAUAAAAUUUUCAUGGCAAAAAGUUAAAAAUAAAAAAUAAAACGGUUUGAUGGAGAAUGGAAUUGAGCAGGGAAAGUUUGAUGGAAGAUGCACACACCAGUUGUGGAAUUAUACUGUUAGUCAUUUUAUUAAAAAAAUAAAAUAAAAAUAAAAAUCACCUCGUUGAAAGAUUAUUUGCUACGAUUAAAAAUUUUAUUUGGUGAGCAAAACGACGUACGGUCCUCAAAAACCUCAUGAUGAUGCAUGUAUAUUCUAAGCUUCAUGACAUCAUAAUAAAAAUGUUUUGCGAAGGUAACUGGAAAUUUGUUUUAUUCAAUGAAUGGUACAUUUACUGGUAUGUUUAAUAGUUUGUGGGUAAUUGUUUAUUUUCUUUUGGUUGAAAAUUUUGCCAUCUCACAAACUAACAACUAAAUUUGACUCCUUUUUAUAUAAAUUUUAUAGGCCCGCCGAUUCACCAAUUUUAUUUUAUAAUCCUUGUAUGUUUGUUAUCUUUAAAUUAUGACCCCAAGUACCAAAAUUCCAAUAUCACGGUCUUUUAUAAGGUUUGGUUAUGAUAAUUAAUUAAUACGAUAAAUACAAACAAGGCACAAAUUAAAAUUUAUAUGGUUCGGCAUAUUAAUUAAUAUGCCUACAUCCACGGAUGGUGAUACCGAAAAUCCACCACAUGAUGAAAAAGUGUACAAACAAUAAUGAAAAUAUUGCUUUCCCAACAAAUUAAUCAGUUAGACGAAUAUAUCCUAAUUAUAAUGGUUUUAUGACAUACAUACAUAUCAAAUUCAUGACUUGUAUUUUGCACUGUUGCAGAGCAAUGAGCAGGCUACAAUACGUUCACUUGUUGAACUCGACCCUCAGAGCGACGGAGAGGACCAUUUGCUGUAUCCUCGAAGACUACCAGAAGGAGGAUGGUGUGUGUGGAAGUACCAGAAGUUCUACAAUAUUGGAAAUGGUUCAGCCGUGAUCAUUGGGAAAAUUAAAAAACCGAAUAAGUAAUAUAAUAAUUAUAAAACCAGUCGGUUCGAUUUUUUAUUUUAAAAAAAUUAAAAAACUGAACCGAUUAUCAAAUAAACCGAAUAACAACCGGAAUCCCUAAAGUGAAUAAAGUCUAAACACUCUAAACUAAAUUGUGACCACUUCUUCUGAGUUCUGAUCAUCAACCUAAAUCGUGACCACUUCUGAGUUCUGAUCUUCAGCUGAAACUGAAAUCGUGACCUUCAGCCGCUGAAGUCUCGUCCCCGUUGCUCGUCGCCGCCACUGCUCGUCGCUGCUGCUUAUCGCUGCUGCUCGUCGCUGCUGCCCAUCGUUGUUGCUCGUCGCCGAGUCUCCGCCACUGUUACCACGUGCUGCAGCCGCUGUCAGCUGCUGCUGCUGCCACUGUCACCAACAACUCUCAGCAGAACAAGGUUUUAUGAAUUUAAAAAGCUAUAGCUAUAAUAUUUUGUUAUCAUUGGGGCCAUAUAAAUUCGUGAGAAUCCCAGAAAUUGCAUUGAAUUUUUACUGAAUCUGAUAAGCCCGGCAUAUCUUAAUCCCAGCUAUUUUGGCUAUAGCGUACCAUUCAUUCGUUAGCUCCAAGGGCCCAUCAACAGGCGUUUUCGGGAAUCGGCUGCGGGGCGAAUUUGGGGUAAAUGCAAGAGGAUAAAAAAAAGCUAUAGCCAAAAUAGCCAAGAGGAUCCCAAGGGCCCCGUCAAUAAGAAUUUGCAGACUUGCAUAAAUAAAUUAUGUAUGAUGCUAUAAAUGAUGCCCAUUAGCCAGACUUGCAUUCUCAGCAAUUCUUCUCCAUUUCUUAAUCCUUUUAUCCAUAUGCUUUGUUAAUGCACAAUACUGUUGAAUAAACUUUGUAUUCCUUUUAUCAGUUUGUUUGAGAUUAAAAUUGGAGGUAAUAAAAUGUUGUUUUGAUUUCAAUUGAGAUGUAUUUAGCUUGAAACAUUGACUUCAUGAAACUAAUUUUGACACUUGAUUUUCUGAUCGAAUUUAUGAUUAUAAUUGGUGAGGAUGAUUUGAAUUUAAUUGCAUGCCAUCAGCCAGGCCAGUGUUGGAAUGUCAUAAUAUUUUUUAUUUGUAAUCCCCAAGAUUUUUUAUUUGUUGCUUCUGUUGUAUUGAUUUGUUGUUGUAGAAUGGAAAACUAUGAUGAGGAGGAAGUGCAAGAGGUGGAGGUUGAUGAUGUGAAAAAAAGAAAAAUACUUUGAGACAUAUUGUGAUUUUUUGUUUGUUAACUUUUUAUGUUUGUGGUAGAUUUAUUAAUUUAAGGUUUUAAAUUUAAAAAAAUCCAAAAUAGGCCCAAUAGGCCUAUAAUCGAAAUAAUCGAACCGAACCGAAUCGAAUUAUUUCAAUUAAUCGAGUAUUUGAUUAUUUCGAUAAUUCGAUUAAUCGCGAUUAUAAUUUUAAAAUAAUUGUAAUCAAACGAUAAUGAAAAGUUUAGUAAAAACCCGAACCGAACCGCGCCCAUCCCUAGCCACCAGAGCUUUAGUUCAGUGAUUUUCUCAAUACGACGUACGGUCCUCAGAACCUUAUCAUGAUGCUUGUAUAGUCUAAGCUUCAUGACAUCAUAUUAAACAGUGUUGGCUUUAACCAAUUGGGGGCCUUAGCCGAAAUUUCAUUUUAGGCAUUCUAAUGUUAAAAUAUCAACUAUCACAAGAAUAUUAAAUAGCUAAAAAAACUCUCACAACAACAUCAAGUAGCUCAAAAUUCAACAAUAUCUUGAAUUACAACAAUUAUUAACAAGAUCUAAAAAAAACAAAAAAUAAUAGUUGGAAAGAUAUCUAUUUCUUUCCACAUGAAUAUUAACUAACUUUGUCUUCCACAAAAUCCAGCUCCUUAAGAUGCUCUAAAACUUCUUCAGCCAUAACCAUAAUCAUCUCGUGAACUUUAUAUCAUUGCUCCUACCUAAUAUGAUCCUAAUCCAUAUUUUCUAGUUGACAUGCUUUUCAAAUUAAAAAAAAAAUAAACAAACAAUUUUUUUUUCUAGAUUAUUCAAGCCAAAAUCAAUACAAAAAAUAAAAAAAUAAAUUAAAUUUAAAAAGGAUAAGAACAGUAAUAAAAAAAUGGAAAAAAAUAGAAUGAUAGCACCUAUAAUUGAGUCAAUUGACUAGUUGAGAUGAGGAUGAUGAUGGCAAUGAAUUUUGUAGAGAAAGAGAAGAGAGCACAAAAACUUUUUGUUGAAAGUAGCUUUGAUUCAAUGUGUAUCGGUUUAUAGAUAAUGAGUUUUUAAAUAUAUUUUAAUAGAAUACUAAAAGUUAGCUCUAAAAAUCCAACGUUACUAAUUUUAAUAAGAGCUCUUUUUGGAAAGGGAAAGCAUUCAUUUGUUUUUUGGGAAAAUAGUAAAAGAAAAUAAAGAAGUAAUGUUAAAAAUAAUUAUUAUACCAUACAAAUAUAUUUUAUAUUUAAGGUAAAGAUUAUUAAAUAGGAGAGACAAUUAUGAAUGAGAGUAAUGAUAGGGUAAAGACUAAAAAUUAGUUUUUUUUAAUUGUAUAAAAAAAAUAUACGUAACUUAAUUUUUUAAUCUUAAAAAAAUUAAUUAUAUUGAUUAAUAAAUAGAUACCAAAAAAUUAAGGUCUUCCUAAAUACGAGGCCCUAGGCAACUGCCUAGUUUGCCUAGUCCUAAAGCCGUCACUGAUAUUAAAAUCAUAUUGCUAAGGUAAUUAGAAAUUUGUUUUAUCCAAUGAAUGUUACAUUUACUGGCAUGUUUAAUAUUUUGCUUUGGUUAAAAAUUUUGCUAUCUAACAGCUAAUAACUGAAUUUGACUCAUUUUUAUGUAAAUUUUAUAGACCCACCAAUUCACCAUUUUUUAUGUUAUGAUCAUUGUAGGCAUGUUAUUUUUUAAAUUAUGAUUCCAUGUGAAAUCAAAAUUUAAAUUUCACCAUCUUUUAUAAGAUUUGAUUAUAAUAAUCAAAUAACACAAUAAACAAACACAAGGCAAAAAAAUUUACGCGAGUUGACAUAUUAAUUAAUAUGCCUACAUCCACGGGUGGUGAUACUAAUAAGCCACUAUAUAAUGAAAAAGUGUACAAAUAACAAUAAGCUCUCAGAUGAGCACAAAAAAAGAAAAAGAAAAAGAAAAAAGAAACACCAAUCUCAACACUCAAAAACAAUCAAUCCCCAGCAGUUUGGCCUCACAAGAGCUCUCUCUGCGUUGUGCUUUCCCUCGUUCAUUCUCUUUACAAAUACAAGGCUCGCAAAAAUACAAAACGAAUUACUGAAAACAUACAUAACAGAUUAAAAAAGCACGCGCCGCGCCCGUCCCCCAAUUCCUGCUCUGCGACGCCAUUUCGUAAUUCCUUUUUGGCUGAAAAAUUAAUAUCGCUUUCCCCAACAAAAAAACAAAUGAAUCAGUUAGACAAAUAUAUCUAAUUUUAAUGGACAUUGUUAAAUUAAUGAAGAAGAGUAGAGAGAGAGCAAACGAGAAGGAAAGCGUAUACAAAUUAUAAUUACUAACCAGAGUUAUUAGCACCAUUACAUAUAUAUAUCCCUGCUGAAUCCCCUCCUCUGUUCACCAUUAGUUUCUAAAAUGGAUUAAAAAAUAACUACUAAUUAAUUUUAAUUAAAAUAGAGUGAGACACGCAAUGCAUGCAGGAGAUCUAGAAAUAAAUUACCCGUGGCGGUGGCCGUGGGUGAUUGUAAUUGACUAAUUGCAGCCGCGCACUUCACUCAAUCUCGAUGUUGGGAAUGUGGCGUAUCUUAGGCCAGUCCUCUCCUGUCUCCUCUCUGUAACGUUCUUCUAAAAUAUAACACCGCCUAAUAUACAAUUCCUGGAGCGUUGUCUUCUGAAGAAGGUGAUCGGGCAGUGCUUUUAAUUUAGGGCAACUCGAAAUAGUCAAGGAAGAAAGACGUGGCAUGAUUAUGAUUUCUUCCUUUAUUGCAGUCCCGAGAUCCCACUCUUCCAGUUCUUCCAUAUAACGAAAUCUGAGCAGUUUCAAUUUGGGAAAGGCAAUAACUGAGCAGCCAUCCGUAUCACCUUCUACUCCCAGAAAUUCAUUACCCACUCUUUUCACAUUUUCCAUUCCUAAAAUAUGAAGAGAUUCAAGGGAUGGCAAUUUUCCCAAAGGAGGCAAAUGCUCACAAUUUCUCCACCCGAAGAGAAAUAAAACCGUUAAAUUGGUUAACGACAUGAACCAAUUUAUGGGGACAACAUUCCUCCUCCCUCUGUAUUCGUCUAUCCGUAAUUUCUUUAAAUUAGGAGAUGGUCCCAAGGCUUCAAGAAGCCGUUCAUCUUCAUCCUCCUCAUUCUCCCUCCUCCCAGCUCGUUCUUCAUCUCCAUCUCUUGAAUGACCAAAAUGAAGUCCCAAUUUUAAGAGAUUUUUCUUUUUCUCAAGUUCAGCCCUUCUAGCCUCCCCCGCAUCUGACACAUCACCCAGCCCACGUAUCCUGCAGUCUCGAAGGAGGUUAAGCUUUUUAAGAGACCCAAGGCUACAUGCUCUGUCAUACCCUCCACCCACAACAAAAUCUCUCACCCUCCGAAGCCUGAUUAAUUCCCCAAUCCCUGCCGGCAAGUAUCUUAAAGAAUCAGUCCCCUCAUUGUGUAAAUACAUCAGCUUUCUUAACUUCCCUAUCCCUCGAGGUAAUUCUCUAAGUUUUACACAACAACUAACAUCUAAACGUUCUAACUUAUAUAACUCACACAUGGUCUCAGGUAAUUUUUCUAUCUUCUUUAUACCUUUCAAAUUAAGGUAUUUCAAAUGUAACAAUUUUUCUAUAUUUGUUGGAAUUUCCUUGAUGUAAUUCACACAUGACCACCUAUCACGAUUUAAUUUUAAUGCCCUUAAACAAGUUAAUUUAUCAAAUAAUUGAGGUAGGACUUUGCUAGACCAUGAAUGUUCAUCACUUUCAACUAAGAGGCUACGCAAUCGUCGCAAUCGUUUAACAUUACCCCAAAUGGAGAUCGGAACCGAAGCCCCUCUAUAUAAAGUUAACAUUAAAUGAAGGAUUUUUUUCUCCCCAAAAGAGCUCAUAGCUGACUCUUCACCACCAUGAAUUUCUAUUGUUGAACACUCAUUACUACAUAAGUAUUGAGCAAAGUCAUGCACUAUAUCGUGCAUUUUGCAAGUAGAGAUUUCACCAUCAUCAUCUUUUUUAAAAUCCUGAAAGAAUGAAUGGCUAGCUAAGAUGUUGAAAUACUCUUCACCAAUAUCCUCCAUCUCUUUGGCCCCUUUCUCACUAAGAUAACCUUGUGCCAUCCAUAGGUUAAUUAACUCUUUUUUUUGUAUGCCGUAGUCUUUUGGAAAGACGGCACAAUAAGUGAAACAUUGUUUAACCUUAGAGGGCAAUUCAUUGUAACUCAACAAUAGAGGGGUCAAAAGGCCUCUCUCAACCUCUUCUAGUUCCCAUAUCUCACUCUCUAAGAUAUUUUGCCAUUCUUUUUCAGUGUUUCUAGACUGCAGGAGACUAGCAAUCGUCUUUGCAGCUAAAGGUAAGCCCUUGCACUUGCUUACAAUUUGUCGGCCAAUAUUUUCUAAUUUUUCACAUUCCUCCUUGGACCUGUCGAAAAAUGCUAACUGCUCAAACACUGACCAGCAUUCUAUUUCAGACAAUACAUUGACAGAGGUAACAUUGGUUGAUCUGAUACAACGGGCAACUCUAUCCUUACGCGUGGUAAUCAAAAUUUUACUUCCAUGGAGACCAUUCUUUAAACAUUUGUAGAAUGGUUCCCACUUAUAGUAAUCUUCGUUCCACACGUCGUCUAAGACAAGAAGAAAUUUCUUCCCUUCAACCCAUUCUUGAAUGUGUUGCAUGAGAGAUUGAAACUCUACAAGGUCUUUGGCGGAACCUGGUUUCAGAGCCUCAAUGAGUGCUCUAGCGAUUCUGAACUCAUCAAAAGGAUCUGACACACAGACCCAUAUUCUUUCAUCAAAAUGUUUUUUAACAUCACCGUUGUUGUAGGCAAAUUGAGCAAGAGUUGUUUUGCCUAUGCCCCCCAUCCCAACAAGUGAGAUGAUACAAGGGCCUUUCUGUUCCUUACUGUUAAGGAAGCACACAUCAGUAGCAUAGACUGUAAAGCAGAGGAUAGCAGCAGCUCCAGCUUACAGUUAAGAGUUGAUGACAUGGCAUGCCAGCUGGCACCUGGUGGUUAUGUAAUCACUUGUUCACGUGAUAAUUAGUUGAAGUUGUUAUAGCUAGCUAGAAUUAGUUUUGUAAUGAGUUAACUAAUUGAGCUUAGCAUCAGUUGUGUAUAUAAGCAUCUCUGUGUACAGUUUCAUAAGUAAGUUUUAGAUGAAUAAAAUCGUGUGAGCAAAAAGCUUUCAGUUCUUAAAUUUUCUCAGCUUCCAAACAUCCUUUUUCUGAUUUCUUACUUGGUAUCAGAGCUUUAAUGGCAUCUGUGAAUCUUGCCUCUUCCUUAAAUCAAGUUCAUAAUACCGCUGCACAUUCAACAACAGUCAAUUUCACUUUCAAUACUCCCGUUAAACUUGAUCAAUCAAACUAUUUGAUCUGGAGAUCUCAAGUGCUUGCUUCAAUUUGAGGAAAUAGACUUGAGAAAUUUAUCGAUGAGUCAAUCACUCCACCUCCUUCUCAUAUUGCUCAUAGAUAUGAUGAUGAGCUUAGAUCUGUGGAGAAUCCAGAAUUUGCAACCUGGAGAGCACAAGAUCAAAUACUUCUCGGUUGGCUUCUUUCAUCCAUGAGUGAAGGUAUCAUCAGUUUGGUGUUCAAUCUUGAGACUUCAUUGGAGGUAUGGAAAGCUGUUGAAACUCAAUUUGGAUCUCAAUCAAAGUCUAGGUUAUUACAUUUGAGAUAUUUGAUGAAUUCCACUAGAAAGGAUGAUCUUAAAAUGACUGAAUACUUCAUUAAAAUGAAAUCUAUUGCUGAUAACAUGGCUGCAGCAGGAAGUGCAUUAAGCAAUGAUGAUUUGAUUUUACAUGUACUCUCUGGUCUAGGUCCUGAUUAUAAUUCUGUUGCUACUUACAUCACUGGACAAGUAGGAACUGGAAAAAUGAAUGUUAAUGAGGCUUAUGCUAUGCUGUUAACUCAAGAGGCUAGGAUUGAUCAACAAACUCAUAUGCUUGCUAAUAUGGAUGUUAAACACAAUUUAGAAGCUAACUUUGCACAAAAUAGAGGACCUAAGAGAGGAAACUUCUUAAGAGGAAAAUGUUUUGGUAACCUUGGAUAUAAUUCAGGCUAUAGUAAUGCUGCUGGAAAUUCUGGAAACAGUGGUUACAGAGGAAAUGGUUUUGCUAUUGGAAGUGCUGGAAAUAAUGGUUACAGAGGAAACUAUGGAGGAGGAGGAGGAGGAAACUGGAAUAAUAAUAAUGCUGUCAAUAAUGGCAAAACACCUGGAAAUCCUAAAUCUCAGUGGAAUCCUUCUAAGCCUACAUGUCAAGUUUGUCUCAAAAUAGGUCACACAGCUAAUGUAUGCUGGAAGCUGGAAGAAUUUAUUGCUUCAGGAGCUUAUAGACCACCUCCAAACAGGAAUCCGAAAUCUGCAUAUCUGGCAAACAUGGAAGGAUCAUCUGAUACAAAUUGGUACCUUGACAGUGGUGCCACUCACCAUCUCACAAAUGACAUGAACAAUAUGCAGAUUUCUGAAUCAUUUACAGGUACAUCUAAACUCAUUAUUGGUAAUGGUACUGGCUUGAAUAUUACACAUAUUGGAAAAGCUGUUCUGAGAUUGCAUGGCUUGAAUAUUACACAUAUUGGAAAAGAUUAUUGGUAAUGGUACUGGCUUGAAUAUUACACAUAUUGGAAAAGCUGUUCUGAGAUUGCACAACUGCACUGAUUCCACUGUGAUUAAACUAAACAAUAUACUUUUAGUUCCACAAAUAACCAAGAACCUUAUAAGCAUUUCUCAGCUAACCAAAGACAACAAUAUCACAGUUGAGUUUGCUGACAAAUCUUGUUUUGUGAAGGACAAGGUGAAGAAUUUGAUCAUACUGCAGGGCAAGGCUGAAAAAGGCUUGUACAGAUUGCUAUUAGUGUCCUCAAAUAAAACUUCUGCUCAGUCUUCCUUUCAAGGUCAUGUUGCCAAUAUUGAGUCUUCUUUUCAGUCUUUUGUUCCUUUGUCAAUGCUAUCAACUGUCAAUCUCAGUCAGUCAAAUAAUCACUGCUUGUAAAAUGUGGCAGCAGAACCUUGUAUGAACUCUAAGUGUCUUUUAAGCACUUCUGUAUUACAUCAGAGGCUAGGUCAUCCUAACUCUAAGAUCUUAAACCAUGUAAUACAAUCUUGUUCCUCUUUCAAACCUAUCAAUGGAAAUAAAGAGUUUGAUUCAUGUGAUGCUUGUAAAUUUGGGAAAAUGCAUAGAUUACACUUUCCAGCAACUGAAACAAAAACAAAACAACCUUUAGCCAUUUUACAUACUGAUCUAUGGGGACCAGCUCCAGUGGUUUCCAUACAAGGUUAUAAAUAUUAUGUGAGCUUUGUAGAUGACUUCAAUCUGACUGGGGAGGGGAAUUCAGAUCCUUUAGCAAAUAUCUUCAAGAAGAAGGGAUAGAAUUUAGACACUCUUGUCCUUAUACACAUAACCAAAAUGGUUUGGUAGAAAGGAAACACAGACACAUCACUGAAUCAGGACUUACUCUUCUUGCACAAGCUAAAUUACCUAUCAAAUUCUGGUGGGAUUCCUUUCAUACAGCAGCCUAUCUCAUUAACAGAUUACCAACACCUAUUCUAGCAAUGAAAACUCCAUAUGAAUCAAUCUUUCAUCAUCAACCAGACUAUAACUUUCUAAGAACAUUUGGAUGUUCUUGUUUUCCUUUUCUCAGAGAAUACAAUAACCAUAAAUUUCAUUUCCAUACUUCAAAGUGUGUCUUCUUAGGAUAUAGUCCUUCACAUAAGGGCUAUAAGUGUCUACAUUCAUCAGGCAAAAUUUAUAUUGCCAGUCAUGUAUUGUUUGAUGAAACCACUUUCCCUUACAUUUCAGAUCCAAAUUUUUCUUCCUCUUCUAAACACACUUCCUCUGAUUUUCAAUAUAAUCUUUUUCAAAGGUUUACUCUGUCAGUUCCUAAUAGCAUUCUGAACAGUCUUGAAGCUACUGCAGCAGAUCAAUUCCCUGUCAAUCAUUCUUUAUCAUCAAAUUCACCUCAAUCUCAGUCACCCACAAAUCAGACCUCUACAUCUUUGCCUUCACCUGCACCCCAGUCACCAGCACCACAAAUACCCUGCACAACACAAACAUCUCAGCCUAAACCUUCUACUUCCACCCAUCAUAUGAUAACCAGAGCUAGAGCUGGUAUUUUCAAACCAAAGACCUUUCUAACAACUCACAACAGCUUAGAACCAUCCACUGUCCCUGAGGCAUUAUCAGAUCCUAAAUGGAAAGAUGCAAUGCAAACUGAGUAUGAUGCUCUUAUUCACAACAACACUUGGACUCUUGUGCCAAUGUCUUCAACAUACAAGCUAGUUGGUUGUAAGUGGGUAUUCAGAACAAAGUAUAACACAGAUGGAACUGUCAGCAAGUAUAAAGCUAGAUUGGUUGCAAAGGGAUUUCACCAAACAGCAGGGGUAGAUUAUUCAGAAACUUUCAGUCCAGUGGUGAAGUCUUCAACAGUUAGAGUUAUACUCAGCUUGGCAGUUAUAAAAGGGUGGAAAGUCAGACAAAUUGAUGUAAAUAAUGCAUUCCUUAAUGGAGAUCUUUCUGAAAACGUAUAUAUGACACAACCAGAAGGCUUUGUAACUAAGGAAGGGUACAUCUGCAAACUCAAUAAAGCUCUCUAUGGUCUAAAACAAGCUCCACGAGCCUGGUAUGAAAAAUUGAAGGGUUGUCUAACUACUUGGCAAUUUCUUAAUUCAAAGGCUGAUACAUCUCUAUUCAUUAAACAUGAUACAAGGGGCUUAAUCAUAGUAUUGAUCUAUGUGGAUGAUAUUCUAGUCACUGGACCAGAUUCUGCUUUACUAGAGGAUUUUAUUGUUAAACUCAGUCAGACAUUUGCCUUGAAAGAUCUGGGAUUAGUUGCUUACUUCCUAGGUGUUGAAGUUAGUUACUUUGAUGAAGGUAUGCAUCUAUCUCAAACAAAGUAUAUUAAAGACUUGCUGAGUAAAGCAUCUAUGGAGAAUUGCAAAGGGUCUGAUACUCCUCUUAGUACUGGUUUGAAGCUAGAAAGAAAUGUCAGGGGUCCUUUGGGUCAGGAGUUCGAAAAUCCAACACAAUACAGAAGCAUAGUUGGAGGGUUACAAUAUCUAAUUCUCACCAGGCCGGAUAUAGCUUAUUCAGUUCAUAAGCUCAGUCAAUACCUCAGUUCUCCUACUGUUCAGCACUGGUUAGCCUGCAAAAGAGUUCUUCGAUAUCUCCAGUCAACCAUCACCUAUGGUCUCUAUCUCAGAAAGGAAGCAACUCUGGAAAUUGGAAUAACAGGCUAUACAGAUGCUGACUGGGCUUGUGAUCUUGACGACAGAAAAUCAAUUGGAGCCUAUUGUAUAUACUUGGGUAACAAUCUGAUUUCAUGGUCUUCCAAAAAGCAAGCUAUUAUAGCAAAGUCAAGCACAGAAAGUGAAUAUCGAGCCCUGUCAGCAGCAUGCUCAGAAAUUUCUUGGUUGCAGUCUUUAUUUUCAGAACUCAACAUUGCUAAACUACCUACUCCAGUUCUUUGGUGUGAUAACCAAAGUGCAGGGGAGCUAGCUCGCAACCCUGUGUUUCACUCAAAAUCUAAGCACAUAGAGUUGGAUGUUCAUUAUGUUAGAGACAAAGUGCUUGGAAAAGAAUUGGAGGUUAGAUACAUUCCUACUGAAGAACAAGUAGCUGAUGUUCUGACUAAGCCCUUAUCUUUUUCUAAAUUCAGCUUUUUUAGAUCCAAGCUCAAUGUCGUUAGUAGACCUUUGAGCUUGAGAGGGGAUGUUAAGGAAGCACACAUCAGUAGCAUAGACUGUAAAGCAGAGGAUAGCAGUAGCUCCAGCUUACAGUUAAGAGUUGAUGACAUGGCAUGCCAGCUGGCACCUGGUGGUUAUGUAAUCACUUGUUCACGUGAUAAUUAGUUGAAGUUGUUAUAGCUAGCUAGAAUUAGUUUUGUAAUGAGUUAACUAAUUGAGCUGAGCAUCAGUUGUGUAUAUAAGCAUCUCUGUGUACAGUUUCAUAAGUAAGUUUUAGAUGAAUAAAAUCGUGUGAGCCAAAAGCUUUCAGUUCUUAAAUUUUCUCAGCUUCCAAACAUCCUUUUUCUGAUUUCUUACUCUUACUACUCUCAUAUAACAACCUAUUAACGAGUUCGUUCUUCUCUUUUUGUCUACCAAAUAUCUCGGACUCAUCAAUUGAGGAGAUACUUGCCGGCCCUCGUUGAUCCGCUCUCUCAUUACUCUUGGUAACAUUCACAGCAAAACCAAACAUGGCUUUUUGUUUGUCAAUAUCAUCAAGAGUUUCAUUGAUGUCUUUCAUCUUGAGAGCAAUGCGACGACGUAAAAAAAUAGGUUUGCAGCCAAAGCAAGAGGCAGCAGGAAAGAAGGAACCUACCUUCUUCUUAGGAACGAGAGCAUCAUUCUCAUGAUCAUCCACCCCAUCGAUCUGCAGUUUGAGCCUUGCAGUGUUCCACUCACCCAACACAUCUUCCAUGUCGUAACAUGCGCAUCUGAGUCGAUCGAGCCAGAGUCUGACAGUUUCCUCCUUUACUUGCCUUUUCUCUGCAUCAUGGAGCACAGCUCGAAUGGCUUGGAGAUUGCUGGUCAGCUUCUUCGAUUCCUUUCCGACACCCGUUACAAGCCUCAAUUGUUCCUUCGCCUCUUCAACAGCCAUUGAGGUCAGCAGCUCCAAGAGAGGGGAAAUGAUCGCAUCAACCAUGGUGAAAAAGAAAAAUGAGAGAGAGAAGAAAUUGAUGGUGAGUUGUAGCAAAAGUAAGUAGCUAAUGCUGAAAGAAAUGAAGGAGCUGAUAAUGUGGUGAAAAUGUUGCCGUAUUCUUUCAAUUCUUAUAGUACUGCAAGCAAAAUUCUAAUUUAGAAAUAUUUCAUUUCAGCCCCUUGUGAAAGAAGCUACUGUUAUUAUUAUUACUUUUUUUUUUUUUUAAUACCAGCAAAGAGUGAAAAUGACGUACAGUUGUGGACAGGAAAUAAUAUAUUGUUAGGUCCUACAUCGGCGAUUCACGCGGUAUAUAAAGAAACUGACAAAGUUUUCUAUGAUCUCUUUUUAAAUAAUUGAACAAGUUGUUAGAUAAUAUGUAUGAUCGUGUCGUCAUAUUGAGAUUUGGAAGCAUUUAGUUGAAAUACCUUGACCAUCUCUUUCUUAUUUUCUUCUUCUUCUUUUCUUUUUUUUUAAAAAAAUUUGACUCGUUUGCAUAAUUAGUUGAAAGGAAAGAAUGAACAUACUAAUAAACUAGGAAAACGCUGCCACAUAAUAUUUUAAGAUUCAUAUCGAACCACUUUAUUUAGAUUUUGUCAUUUUAGCAGAUGUCUGAUAGUGGGAGUUUAGAGUUUAAUCUCUAACUUUGCUUGUGAAGUGUGAAAAAUCAAAUAAUCUUUUCAACUCGUUUUUCAACAAAAAUAGAUAACAAUUCAUCAUCAGUUAUUUCUCUUUAUGUAUAAAAUGAUCAAUCUAGAGCUGGAUAUUCACAUGUUUUUCUAUUUCUAAUCAUUUCAAAAUAUAAUAUGAACUUUUAAAAAAAAAUCAAAUUGUAAUAAAGUGACAUAAAUAUUAAAAAAUAAAAAUAAAAAGUCAAAAACGUAAUGCCGAAAAAAGACAAAACCUUUUUGUUUGUUCUAUUCAUGGCAUCUAAAUAUGAGAAAUGAUGGGUUGAUUGUCAUUGUGAACAACCAUAUUAAUUGCAACACGUGAAUACCAUCAAAGUUAUAAUAAUUUAUGGACCCAUGCACCUGUAUUUCUAAUUAUUCCGCGUAGAAGGCUAAAGUUUAAUGUGUGAUUCUCAAAUUCAUUGUCAAGUGAUUUGAAUGUUUUAACGAACAGUGCUUACUUUUCUUUUUGAAGGAGCACAAUAACAACUUGAAGAUUCCUGGAAAUUGCCUACAGCACAAAUAUUUUUCAAUUGAACAAAAACCAUCAAUAAUUUUCAAACUUAGAAGAUAUUUAUUUUUUUCCCCAUAACCCACCAAAAACUUUUUCAUUUAGUGUAACUUUGUAAUUUUCUUAGAUGAUACUUAAAACUGCUAAUAUCUUCUAAUUAUUGUUUUAAAAAUCUCAAUGAUUGCAUGCCCAAUUAACGGAUCAGUAAUCUCAGUUUGACAUAUUUAUUUAAAAAAAAGAAAUAUACAGAUUGUUUGAUGACUCUAGAAUAGAACAUCAGGAAAUGAAGAGAAAAAGUAACAUACUUUAUGACGAUCAUUGCCGAUGACAUAACAGAUGUAAGUAUUUAUUGCCAAUUAAUUGACAUUCUUAUCAAGUAAUUGUUUUAGACUUGAAUUCAAAAGCUCUACUCCGCUCUGCCCUUCGGUAAUUCCCCUGUUCAAAAAAUAAUAUUGUUUUAAAAAUCUCAAUAACAACAUGCCCAACAUAACAGGAAGAUUCGACUUUCUCAGAAGAACUACUUGAAAAAAAUCUUGCAACGCUUCAACAUGCAAGAUUGUAAGUCAAUUUCCACCCCACUUUCUGUCAAUUUCAAGUUAUCCUCAAGUAUGUGUCCUAGUAAUGAAGCAGAGAGGAAGGAGAUGUCUCGAGUACCAUAUGCAUCAGCAGUGGAAAGUUUAAUGUUCGCUAUGAUAUAUACUAGACCAGACAUUGCACAAGCAGUGGGAGCAGUCAGUCGAUACAUGGCGAAUCCUGGUGGAGAGCAUUGGAUAGUUGCGAAGAGGAUUCUAAGAUACAUCAGAGGAACCUCAGAUGUUGCAUUAUGUUAUGGAGGAUCAGAGUUUACUGUCAGGAACUAUGUGGAUUCAGAUUUUGUAGGAGAUCUUGAUAAAAGAAAAUCCACUACUGGCUAUGUGUUUACACUUGCGGGAGCAGCUGUAAGCUGAGUUUCUAAACUGCAGACCGUUGUGGCUCUAUCUACAACAGAAGCAGAGUACAUGGCAGCUACACAAGCUUGCAAGGAAGCUAUCUGUAUACAAAGGUUAUUAGAGGAGCUCGGGCAUAAACAAGAGAAAAUUUAUGUGUUUUGUGACAGUUAGAGUGCCUUGCACAUUGCAAGGAAUCCAGCCUUUCAUUCCAGGACAAAGCACAUAGGAGUUCAGUAUCACUUUUUUCGAGAAGUAGUGGAAGACGAAAGUGUGGAUUUACAAAAAAAAAUCCAUACGAAUGAGAACCUAGCAGAUAUUUUGACCAAGCCGAUCAAUGCUGGCAAGUUUAUCUAGAGUAAAUUAGGGAUGGCAAAAACCGGGUCCGGGUCCGGGUUUGGCCUUUCCGGUUCCGGACCCGGAUGCCAAUUCUCCUUCCCGGAUCCGGAUAUAAACCCGCAUUUUCUUUCUCCGGGUUCGGUACGGGUUCAACCCGGAAAAAUCUGGGUUUCCGGAUUACGGGUUUUGAACCCGAAAAGUUGGAGUCUGGAACAAUAAAGCCUUUGUGCAUGCCCCUUUUGACUCUGGACGAGUGGAUUAGCGGUUUAUUUGAGGUGUCGGUUGAGACACCGGCGAGUCCAGGAAGCAGCAGCCAUGAAAGCAGUGAGCAAGGUUUGAGAUCCAGCAUCCACGAACAAGAGAGAGAUGAGAUCGAGCGCCAACAAGAGUGGAUUAGCAGUUUCUUUAAGGUGUCGGUUGAGGCACCAGCAAGUCGAGGAGGUGGCAGCCAUGAGAGUAGCGAGCAAGGUUUGAGAUCCAGCAUCCAAGAACAAGAGAGAAAUGAGAUCAAAUUUGAUGAGAGAUGAGAGAUAAGGUUGAAUUUGAUGGUGCCAAAGAUUGUUUGUUGCUUUUGAUGAUGAUUGCAGAAAAAUUAAUUAAUUAAUAAAUUAUUAAUAUUUUAGUGCAGGUCCGGGUUCCUGGAAUCCGGGUUUGGUUGAACCCGCAACCGGACCCGCAUGUAUCCGGGUUUGAAAAAAUGCUACCCGGAUCCGCAUUUUUAUGCACCCGGGAUGGGUUUAACCCGGACCGGAUCGUCCGGGUUUAUCCGGGUUCGGGCCGGGUCCGGAAAAAUUUGCCAUCCCUAGAGUAAAUCCUCUUGUGGCCUAGCAGAAACGUAGGCAACAUGAUUAUGUCGAAUCAGAAAGGAUGGUGUGGAGAUUGAUUGAUUCUCAAUCUAAUCUCCAAGUGGGAGAAUGUUAAAGUCAUGGUUGGGAGGUGUCACCCAAAGAAAGAAACAAAAGAGAAAGAAGAAAAAGAAGAAAAAAUGGGUACCGGGCUAUAAAGGGCAAAGAAAAAAAAUUAAUAAAAUAAUAAAAAUAAUAUAUGAUUGAUGAAUAGUGCCAAAACUUUCUCUAUAAAUAGAAACGAAGAGAAUGAGCAAAUUCAUUUCAUCGAGAGAGAAGCAUUUCCUUCCUUUAGAGAGGUGAGAGUAUCAAGAGUUUAAUAAACUCUUGAGUGAUUAGUGUUUUGAGAGUUUGGGUGUAUUGGGAUUUUAGGUAGUGAGGUAAAAUACCACAAUACUUGUAACUCCUUUUCACUAGUAAAAUAUUUUUCUUCUUUUUCGCCCGUGGACGUAGGCUAAAAGUCGAACCACGUAAUUUCUUGUGUCCACUUUUUGUGCUUGUUCUUUGUUUUCUUACAAUUUCAUUUUAGCUGCGUGUUUGCUUCACUCAUCAAGUAAACAUCAUCAAUCAUUUUCGUUUUGAAUUAUGAUUUUUCAAUCCAAAAAGUAGAUGCCAGUAAAAGAGAGAGUUAAACUUGACUCACCCGCUUUUCUAAUUGUUCUGAUUUGUUGUAUAAUUUAUUCUAAAGUUAUUUUAUAAUUUAUCUAAAACGUAUAUAACACGUUCUCAAUUUUAUUACUAUAAACUUACGCUGUAUUGUCUAGUCUUAGUAAGUAACGACUCAAUUGGAUGUGGGAGGAUCCCUUCCGCUUUGACCAAAAAAACUGUUUCGAGGACAGUAUUCUAACUCAACUCAAGUGCUGAACAAAGAAAGAAACGCUGAGAACAUUAAUGAAAGUUAUCAUACAGAGCAAACAAGUCAAGAGUACACACAAGAGGAGAAAUAAUUAACACAAUUAUUUUACAUGGUUGAGUUUCUCUAAGCCCACGUCCACGAAGACAGACACUUGGCCAAGGAAAUAAUUGACCAAGGAAUUUACAAGGAAACUCUCUUUUCCAGAAGUUACAAGAGCCCUGACACUAUUCCUCUCGAGGUCUAGUUCAAGUCGCCCAAGCCUCUCAAGCUCCCUUAAGAACUCUGCUUUCUUGCUGUUCAAGAAAGCGCCUGAUUGGAAUCACAUGCUCCACGUGACAUCUGGCAUAACUAAAUCUGCUGCCGUACCCGGCCAAUUUAUGAUGCCACUUAUGAUACCCUGUCUCGUCAGCUUCCUUGCCCUGCGUCAUCAUAGGACCUUACAUCUUGGAACCUCCAUGAAAGCUGAAUCUCUAACAGCCCAUCAUAAAAGAUAGUAGUUUUAAAAUAUGGAAAUUACCAAAAAUACCUGCACAUUUUGAAAUUUGUCAAAAAAUGAAGAGUUGAAAGCAAUAGGAAGACGUAAUUAACCAACCAAUUUGAUUCCUCUGAUCGCUUUCAUCUCAGGACUCUUUGUCUUCCCGUGCGUCUUCGAUUCCACAGGACAAUCUUGGAUUGAAUUUAUACAUCAGAAGAAAAUAUCAGUAUGCCCAAAAUAAAAAAAGGUGUCAUAUAGAAGUAUUCUGUCGCAGACUUAACAUAUCUAUCAAGUAAGUAAUUAAUAAUUCCUAGUUUUAAAAGUAGAGCAAUUGGAUAUCAAGUCCGUAAAUUCAAGAUAUAAUAACUCUUGACAAUUAUAUAUUCAUAUGCAUGUUAGUAGCAUGAUGCUACCAAUAUUCGCACCUUUAGCAUUCAAACACUUGAUCAUUGAAAGAAUUUAAGAAAAAUGUUGUUUGGUUACUGAGAAAAUAUCUCAACAAAAUUUUCAGAGAACUUUCCGGAAUUCUUGCCUGUAUUUCACUUAAUGAAAAAUGUUAAAAUUACAUUCAAUUUAUAUUCGAUGCUUUAGCAUUACUAUAACUAACUCAGAACAUACUACACAUGCUUAACUACAGCUCAAUAUAUACAGAGUAAGUCAUAACAAACUUUUAACUACUUAUGCUGAGGUGGCAACUGAGCUGUUAUUCUGCUUAAUCAUCUGACGUCAACAACUUGCUGGUUUUCCUCAGCUUGAGCGUCUUCUUCCUUUCUGGACAAUGAGCUUCUUUAACAAUCAUUGAAGCAGCCUUUCUCACCAACCUAGCUCCGACAUUAAUCUAUAGAGUUAUC
rnacentral:lncRNA from 1 species